rnacentral:tRNA from 1 species
GCGACUGUAGUCUAGUGGUUAGGAUCUUGGCCUUCCAAGCCAGAGACCCGGGUUCAAAUCCCGGCGGUCGCA